CCUACGGGAGGCAGCAGUGGGGAAUAUUGGGCAAUGGGCGCAAGCCUGAACCAGCAACGCAGCGUGAAGGAAGAAGGCUUUCGGGUUGUAAACUUCUUUUCUGAGGGACGAAGAAAGUGACGGUACCUCAGGAAUAAGCCACGCCUAACUACGUGCCAGCAGCCGCGGUAAUACGUAGGUGGCAAGCGUUCUCCGGAUUUAUUGGGUGUAAAGGGCGUGUAGGCGGGAAAGCAAGUCAGAUGUGAAAAUUCAGGGCUCAACCCUGGGCCUGCAUUGGAAACUGUGUUGCUUGAGUGCUGGAGAGGCAGGCGGAAUUCCGGGUGUAGCGGUGAAAUGCGUAGAUAUACGGAGGAACACCAGUGGCGAAGGCGGAUUGCUGGACAGUAACUGACGCUGAGGCGCGAAAGCGUGGGGAGCAAACAGGAUUAGAUACCCCAGUAGUC
rnacentral:rRNA from 1 species